CAUUUAUUUUAAGCUCUACUAUUUGUUAAGUUUAUUCUCAAAAUAUUUAAUUUAUAGUAUUAUCCACAAUAAUUGGAGUGCAAAACUGACCAAAUUAAAGUUGCCAUAUGUUCAUCUGGAAUCUGAAAGCUGGCCUUGGUCUGCUUCAUUUUGGUGUGACCGGAGCCCGUACUCACCGUUAGCUACCAUCCCCAACCUGCCCUAAUCUUUCUCCAGGUUUUGUUGCUAGCACUCGAUCUGUACACGCUGUGGGAUAAUUGCUUGUUGACAAGGAAGAUCAAAUCCUGAUGGUGGAAGAAUGGCACCCCCUGUGCUUCAGCUAACAAUCUGAUUAGUUUCCUAGAUGCUUGAUUAUUGAUUUUAUGUGUGAUCAUUUUAUUUUGUUUUUGUAUCAGGGUUGCAUAGAGUAUAAAAGCUUUGUCCCCCUAUGCUUGCACUGAGAGACUCUUCCGUAGCUGUCAUCGCAUACGGUGUUGCAAUCAGUAUCCUAAACAGUUAAAAAUAGGACUCACUAAAUUGAAGAAAAAACAAAUAGCUCUACCUUGCUUAUGAUGGUCCUUCAUAUUGGAGCACAUCUUCCAUGGGUCUGUAGCAGCUCAUCCUGCUCAAGGUUGACUAUAUAUGAGUUUUGGUCAGUGAAGGGGAUGUAAUUAGUAAUGGAAUUAGAACAUAGGUUCCUUGACGAAAUUUGAAGAUGUAACCCGCCACCCACGUUUCGCAGCCAUCGCCCAUUAUGGACUUGCCAAGUUUCUGGUGGUGCCCAUUGUGGAUGAAAUUACUGAUUGCCUCAAGUACUCAAGUUUCAUGAGUAUAACAAAGAUUACAGCUUGGGUAUCUGUAAAGUGGUUAUGUUGAGAUAAAGGACAAUAAUGUGAGAUUUCUGUUUACAUCUCAAAUGUUCCCUUUAAUUUUUUUACGCUACUUUCUAACUUGGCCUUUCAGUUUAAAUCUCAUAAUAUGCAUUGUUUCUUUU
rnacentral:sRNA from 1 species